UACAGAGACUGCAAGCGUUAUUCGGAUUCACUGGGCGUAAAGGGUGCGCAGGCGGCCAAGUGUGUGAGGCGUGAAAGCCCGGGGCUUAACCCCGGAAUUGCACCUCAAACUACAUGGCUAGAGCAUUGGAGAGGGUAGCAGAAUUCAUGGUGUAGCAGUGAAAUGCGUAGAUAUCCGGAGGAACACCAGUGGCGAAAGCGGCCACCUGGACUGCACCUGACGCUGACACGCGAAAGCUAGGGGAGCGAACGGG
rnacentral:rRNA from 1 species